AUAAAGAAUAAUCUUUUUUUAGA
rnacentral:tRNA from 1 species